rnacentral:rRNA from 1 species
GCGACCCUAGGUCAGGCUAGAUUACUCGUUGAGCUUAAGCAUAUCAAUAAGAGGAGGAAAAGAAACUUACAAGGAUUCUGUUAGUAACGGCGAGCGAUUUGGGAAUAGCCUAGCCUUAGCAUCGGGCAGCUCCAUCAUCCGAAUUGUAGUCUGGAGAAGAUUCCUCAGUGGCAGACCGAGCCCAAGUCCCCUAGAAGGAGGCGCCAGAGUGGGUGAGAGUCCCGCUAUUCCCGGACCCUAUCGCACCACGAGGCGCUGUCUAAAAAUAGGGUUGUUUGGGAAUGUAGUCCAAAUUGAGCGGUGAAUUCCGUCAAAGGCUAAAUACAGGCGAGAGACCAAUACCGAACAAUUACCGCGAGGGAAAGAUGAAAACGACUUUGAAAAAAGAGUCAAUGAGUGCUUGAAAUUAUCAGGAGGGAAGCGGAUAGGGGCCGAGAUGCCCCCGGUUGGAUGAGGAACGAUGACGAGCCGGUCCGUCAUUGAAUCAGGGCAUGGAACAACAUGGAUUGGGGGAGGACAAAGUCCGGGCUCUCGAUACGCUUGUGGAAUGCUGUCUCCCGAAUUGUGGGAGGCAGCGUGUGCCUCUGGCGUGCUUCGGCAUCUGUUCUCACUGGACGCUGACUUGUGGGCUCCCAAUUCGACUCGUCUUAAAACACGGACCAAGGAGUUUGACAUGUGUUCGAGUCAACAGGCGAGUAAACCCGUAAGGCGUAAGUAAGCUGAUUGGUGGGAUCCCCCUGAGGGGUGCACCGCCGACUGACCUAAAUCAUUUGAGAAGGGAUUGAGUGUGAGCAUACAUGUCGAAACCUGAAAGAUGGUGAACUAUUCCUUAGUGGGGUGAAGCCAAAGGAAACUCUGGUGGAGGCCCACAGCGAUAUUGACGUGCAAAUCGUUCGUUUGACUUAGGUAUAGGGGCGAAAGACUAAUCAAACCGUCUAGUAGCUGGUUCCUUCUGAAGUUUCCCUCAGGAUAGUUGGAGCUCGCGUGCGAGUUCUAUUGGGUAAAGCCAAUGAUUAGAGGCCUCGGGGAUGCAACGCCCUCGACCUAUUCUCAAACCUUAAAUAGGUAGGACGGCGCGACUAAUUUGUUGAGCCGCGCCACGGAAUCAAGAGCUCCAAGUGGGAUAUUUUUUGUAAGCAGAAUUGGCGAUGUGGGAUGAACCAGAAGCUAGGUUAUGGUGCCAAACUGUGCACUAACCUAGAUCCCACAAAGGGUGUUGGUCGAUUAAGACAGCAGAACGGUGGUCAUGGAAGUCAAAAUCCGCUAAGGAGUGUGUAACAACUCACCUGGCGAAUCAACUAGCCCCAAAAAUGGAUGGCAUUUAAGAGCGCGACCUACACCCGGUGGUCGAGCAAGCUCCUGGCCCCGCUGAGUAGGCUGGUGCGAAAGUCGCUGCAAAACCUUGGGCGUGAGCCUGAGCGGAGCGGUCGUCGGUGUAGAUAUGAUGGUAGUGGAAAAUAUUCAAAUGACUUUGAAGGCAGAUGGGGGAAAGGUUCCAUGUGAACGGCACUUGCACAUGGGUUAGUCGAUCCUAAGGGUCGGGGGAACCCCGACAGAUAGCGCGUUUCGCGCGUACUUCAAAAGGUAAUCGGGUUAAAAUUCCUAAACCAGGAUGUGGCAGUUGACGACAACGUUAGGAAGUGUAGAGACGUUGGCGGGAGCCUCAGGAAGAGUUAUCUUUUCUAUUUAAAAGCCUACCCACACUGGAUUCUGCUCAGUCUCAGGUAGGGUCCAGCGGCUGGAAGAGAACCGCACGUCGCGUGGUGUCCGGUGCACUCCCGGCGGCCCUUCAAAAUUUGAAGGACCGAAUGUCGUCCACGCCCGGGCGUACUUAUCACCACAUCAGGUCUCCAAGGUGAACARCCUCUGGUCGAUGGAACAAUAUAGGCAAGGGAAGUCGGCAAAAUGGAUCGGUAACAUCGAGGAAAGGAUUUGCUCUGAGGGCUGGGCAUGGGUGUCCCAGCCCCAAAUCCAUCGGCAGUUGGUGGACUACUCGAGCUGCUCUCAUGGUGAGAGCGGGUCACCGGGUGCUGGCUGGGGGAGGGACUGGGAACGGUUCCUUCAAGGGCCUUCCCCGGGCGUCGAAUAACCAACUCAGAAUCGGUACAGACAAGGGGAAUCCACUGUUUAAUUAAAACAAAGCAUUGUGAUGGUCCCAACGGAUGUUUACGCAAUGUGAUUUCUGCCAGUUCUCUGAAUGUCAAAGUGAAGAAAUUCAACCAAGCGCGGGUAAACGGCGGGAGUAACUAUGACUCUCUUAAGGUAGACAAAUUCCUCAUCAUCUAAUUAGUGACGCGCAUGAAUGGAUUAACGAGGUUCCCACUGUCAAUGUCUACUAUCCAGCGAAACCACAACCAACGGAACGGGCUUGGAAAAAUCUGCGGGGAAAAAGACCCUGUUGAGAUUGAGUCUAGUUCGACUUUGUGAAAUGAUUUGAGAGGUGUAGUAUAAGUGGGACUCGAAAGUCCAAAGUGAAAUACCACUACUUUAAUGUUAUUUUACUUAUUCAGUGAAUCAGAAGCGGGGCACUGCCCCACUUUUUGGACCCAACGCCCGCUUUGCGGGCCAAUCCAGGCUAAAGACAUUUUUAGGUGGGGAGUUUGGCUGGGGCGGCACAUCUGUUAAAAGAUAACAUAGGUGUCCUAAGAUAAGCUCAACGAGAACAGGAAUCUCGUGUGGAACAGAAGGGUAAAAGCUCRUUUGAUUCUGAUUUCCAGUACGAAUACGAACCAUGAAAGCAUGGCAUAACGAUCCUUUAGAACUUCGGAAUUCUAAGCUAGAGGUGUCAGAAAAAUUACCACAUGGAUAACUUGCUUGUGUCAGCCAAGUGUUUAUAGCGACGUUUCUUUUUUAUCCUUCGAUGUCGUCUCUUCCUAUCAUUGUGAAGCAGAAUUCACCAAGUGUUGGAUUGUUCACUCACCAAUAGGGAACAUUAGCUGGGUUUAGAUCGUCGUGAGACAGGUUAGUUUUAUCCUAUUGAUGACAGUGUUGCAAUAGUUAUUCAACCAAGUACGAGAGGAACCAUUGUUUCACACAAUUGGCCAUCGUGCUUGGUUGAAAAGCCAGUGGCGCGAAAUAUUACUUACUAGUGAUGCAAAUCUCCUGCUUAUUUUUACUGUUGUGGCAAUGCACUAUUCCAAAAUAGUUUGAUCAAAUUACACGGUUUCUCUUKGAGAUUUGGCAGUUCAUUUUCCUAAUCCUUUAAAGCCAUGGAUAGAGCUUAUAUAUGCAUGAAUAAGAGUGUCAUCAGUUUCUGUGCGGAAGAAUGUUGUAUUGGCUCUUACUCUGAUUACAUUGAACAACAUGAUGAUGGUUUGGAUAGGUUAU